UACGGGGGGGGCAAGCGUUGUUCGGAAUUACUGGGCGUAAAGAGCUCGUAGGCGGUUUGUCGCGUCGAAUGUGAAAUCCCGGGGCUCAACCCCGGGUCUGCAUUCGAUACGGGCAGACUAGAGUUCGGUAGGGGAGUCUGGAAUUCCUGGUGUAGCGGUGAAAUGCGCAGAUAUCAGGAGGAACACCGGUGGCGAAGGCGGGACUCUGGGCCGAUACUGACGCUGAGGAGCGAAAGCGUGGGGAGCGAACAGG
rnacentral:rRNA from 1 species